UAAUACGGAGGGUGCAAGCGUUAUCCGGAAUCAUUGGGUUUAAAGGGUCCGCAGGCGGACUAAUAAGUCAGUGGUGAAAGCCUACAGCUUAACUGUAGAACUGCCAUUGAAACUAUUAGUCUUGAAUUCGGUCGAAGUGGGCGGAAUGUGUCAUGUAGCGGUGAAAUGCAUAGAUAUGACACAGAACACCGAUAGCGAAGGCAGCUCACUAGGCCUGAAUUGACGCUCAGGGACGAAAGCGUGGGGAGCGAACAGGAUUAGAUACCCUGGUAGUCCACGCCGUAAACGAUCAUUACUCGAUAUUAGCGAUAUACAGUUAGUGUCUAAGCGAAAGUGAUAAGUAAUGCACCUGGGGAGUACGAUCGCAAGGUUG
rnacentral:rRNA from 1 species